AGCCGAACCGUCUUACAUUCAAAUCAGCCCAGCCAGACCGUCAGAUCACAUGCGAAAGCUGUUCGUUACAGGACCAUCACACCACAGACGAUCCUCGAAGCUGGUAAGUGAUUACAAAAUAGUGAUUAAUAAGUCAAAGAUGUGUCAUUCAUAUUUAUCGUUUUUAUUCUCCAGAGCAACGGCCGACGGCCUACGCACCCCCACCACCUCCCCCUUCUCCUGCGCAGACGGAUGAACAACAUCCGACAGCCGCUUCAAUAUCUCAGCCCACACCUCCUCCUCCUCUUCCCCCUUCUCCUGCACAGGAUCAAUCCGACAGCGACUCUGAAACCGCUGACCGUGCUCCUGAGCAGCCAGCCGGUAAGCUGUUUCACAAAACCGCUCCGCAGCGUAUAUUAAAUUUUGAAGUAAAAAUAUGAUGCUUUUUAUCCUUUC